rnacentral:misc_RNA from 1 species
GAUGAAGAACGUAGCGAAAUGCGAUAAGUAAUGUGAAUUGCAGAAUUCAGUGAAUCAUCGAAUCUAUGAACGCACAUUGCGCCCGCCAGUAUUCUGGCGGGCAUGCCUGUUCGAGCGUCAUUUCAACCAUCAAGCCCCCGGCUUGUGUUGGGGACCUGCGGCUGCCGCAGGCCCUGAAAACCAGUGGCGGGCUCGCUAGUCACUCCGAGCGUAGUAAUACAUCUCGCUCAGGGCGUGCUGCGGGUUCCGGCCGUUAAAAAGCCUUAUUUACCCAAGGUUGACCUCGGAUCAGGUAGGAAGACCCGCUGAACUUAAGCAUAUCAAUAAGCGGAGGA